AUGAAUGCUGGCGGCGUGCCUCAAGCAUGCAAGUCAAGGGGGCUCCCGCAAGGGAGCAACCGGCAGACGGGUGAGUAACGCGUAGGAAUCUACCUCUAGGCGGAGCAUAGCCCCUCGAAAGAGGGGGUAAUUCUCCAUAGUCUAAUUUAUUAGUAAAGGCCUUAACUGGCCACCAAGAGAUGAGCCUGCGUCCUAUUAGCUAGUUGGUAGGGUAAAAGCCUACCAAGGCAAUGAUGGGUAGCUGGACUGAGAGGUCGGUCAGCCACAAUGGCACUGAGAUACGGGCCAUACACCUACGGGUGGCAGCAACUGGGAACAGUUCGCAAUGGACGAAAGUCUGACGACGCGACGCCGCGUGGAGGAUGAAGGUUUUCGGAUCGUAAACUCCUUUUGCCAGUUCACAUGAACUGGAGAAUAAGCACCUACAAACUGCGUGCCAGCAGUAGCGGUAAUACGUGGGGUGCAAGCAUUAUCCGGAAUCACUGGGCGUAAAGUGUGCGUAGGCGGUUUAUUAAGUCGGAGCUUAAAGCCUGUAGCUUAACUACAGAUCUGGCUCCGAUACUAGUAGACUGGAAGGCUGGUGGGGGUACUGGAACUUGUGGUGUAGCAGUGAAAUGCGUUGAUAUCACAAGGAACACCAAAGGCGAAGGCAAGUACCUGAACAGUUCUUGACGCUGAGGCACGACAGCUAGGGGAGCGAAGCAGAUUAGAGACCUGCGUAGUCCUAGCCGUAAACGAUGUCUGCUAGAUCUCCGUUUCGUAAAGUGCAUAAGAUAUUCUUGUGCUUUUUACGAAAUGGGGGUCGUAAGGUAACCCGUUAAGCAGACCGCCUGGGGAGUACGGUCGCAAGACCAAAACUCAAAGGAAUUGACGGGGAGGCGCACAACCGGUGGAGCGUGUGGUUCAAUUCGAGACGAAGCGAAAAACCUCACCAGGGUUUGAAACGCUAGCGUUCUAUGCUUAUGAAAGUAGGCAAAUCCGCAAGGAGGCUAGUACAGGUGUUGCAUGGCCGUCGUCAGCUCUAGGCGUGAGCUGUAGGCUUAAGUGCCAUAUAGAGCGCAACUCUUGCCUAAUGUUAUAUUUCUCAUUAGGAACUGCCCCACGUAUAGUGGGGAGGAAGGUAGGAAAGACGUCAGGUCAGCACGACCCUUAUACCCUGGGCUACACACACCCUACAAUGGCGAAAAACAAUGAGUCGCAAGUUGGUAACGACAAGCUAAUCUCAGAAAUUUCGCCCCAGUUCAGAUUGAGGGCUGCAAUUCGCCCUCAUGAAGUCGGAAUCGGUAGUAAUCGCGGAUCAGAAGGCCGCGGUGAAUACGUUCUCGCCUCUUGUACACACCGCCCGUCAAGCGAGCAAAGUUGGGGGCGGCCCAAAUCCCACCUCUGGUGAGAUGAAGCCGAACUCAGCGAUGAGCACU
rnacentral:rRNA from 1 species